rnacentral:rRNA from 1 species
AAUGAACGCUGGCGGCGCGCCUAAUACAUGCAAGUCGAGCGAGAAGACGUAGCAAUACGUUUGUAAAGCGGCGAACGGGUGAGGAAUACAUGGGUAACCUACCCUCGAGUGGGGAAUAACUAGCCGAAAGGUUAGCUAAUACCGCGUACGCUCCUUGGACUUCGGUUCAGGGAGGAAAGCGAUACCGUGGGUAUCGCGCUCUUGGUUGGGCUCAUGUCCUAUCAGCUUGUUGGGAGGUAACGGCUCACCAAGGCUUCGACGGGUAGCUGGUCUGAGAGGACGAUCAGCCACACUGGCACUGCGGCACGGGCCAGACUCCUACGGGAGGCAGCAGUAAGGAAUAUUGCGCAAUGGGCGAAAGCCUGACGCAGCGACGCCGCGGUGGGGGAUGAAAGUCUUCGGAUUGUAAACCCCUUUCGGGAGGGAAGAUGGAACGAGCAAUCGUUCGGACGGUACCUCCAGAAGCAGCCACGGCUAACUUCGUGCCAGCAGCCGCGGUAC